UACGUAGGGUGCGAGCGUUAAUCGGAAUUACCGGGCGUAAAGCGUGCGCAGGCGGUUUUGUAAGACAGAUGUGAAAUCCCCGGGCUCAACCUGGGAACUGCGUUUGUGACUGCAAGACUUGAGUAUGGCAGAGGGGGUAGGAAUUCCACGUGUAGCAGUGAAAUGCGUAGAGAUGUGGAGGAAUACCGAUGGCGAAGGCAGCCCCCUGGGUCAAUACUGACGCUCAUGCACGAAGCGUGGGGGAGCAAACAAGG
rnacentral:rRNA from 1 species